GAAGCCCCCCGGAAGGGGGGUGGAGGCCCGCACCGGUACUGAUGUGCAAAUCGUUCGGAUGACCUGGGUAUAGGGGCGAAAGACCAAUCUAGGCCGGCAAUAGCUGGUUCCUCUCGAAACUGCUCGUAGGCAGACCUCCGUGGAGACGGGGCGUGCGGUAGAGCACUGAUUGCGUGUUUAGGGAGCGAGAGUUCUCGGCAUGCUGUCAAACUCCGAAUGUGCGUCCGUCGCAGAAGCGGGGCAGUGAGGGCACUGGGGUAAGCUUAGUGUCCGCGAGGAGAACAAUCCAGACCGAAGUUAAGGUCCCAAAGUAACCGCUAAGUGUUAAAGAACAAAUGGUGUCUGGCGGCAGAGACAGCUGGGAGGUUGGCUUAGAAGCAGCCAUCCUUUAAAGAGUUCGUAACAGAUCACCAGUCGAGUUUCUGGGCCCAGAAAAUGGACGGGACUAAGCGGUUCACCGAUACUUCGGGCCACCGAAAGGUGAUGCGGUAGAGAGGCGUCGUGCGCGGGUGGAAGUGGGGCCGUGAGGUCCUGUGGACCGCGUUCGAAUGAUAAUCAUGGAAAUAGUAGUAGCGUAGAUGGGUGAGAAUCCCAUCCGCCGGAGGGGCUAGGGUUCCUCGACGAUGUUCAUCAGUCGAGGGUUAGUCGGUCCUAAGGUUCCCCCUAACAGGAGGAAUCGAAAGGGAAGCAGGUUAAAAUUCCUGCACCAAUUCACAUUUUGUCCAUUUCCUGACACAUCGGGUCCAGUGGAGCACUCUUGUCUGAGUGUUGCCUUCAGCAAUAAAUUUGUGGAGUACCGUAAUGGUGAGAAACAAACUAAGCUGUUGGGAGGCGAAGUAUUUCGCUUCUGCUCUAGCCUGGUGUCCGUGAAAAGGGAGCUGGAGCCGUACUGACUGUCCGUACCGAGAUCUGACACAGGUGCCCCUAGGUGAGUAGCCUAAGGCGUCGCGGCAGAAUCCGGGCGAGGGAAUUCGGCAAAUUAGCCCCGUACCUUUGGUAUAAGGGGUGCCAGCUCUGUAGAGAGCUGGUCGCAGUGACUAGGGAGCUCCGACUGUUUACUAAAAACACAGGUGGCUGCUAGUCCGUAAGGAUGUGUAUAGCCGCUGAAUCCUGCCCAGUGGCGGUAUCUGAAACCCGGUUUCACCCGGACGAAGGACCGCUAAACGGCGGGGGUAACUAUGACCCUCUUAAGGUAGCGUAAUACCUUGUCGCUUAAUUGGCGACUUGCACGAAUGGCCUAACGAGAGCUCUACUGUCCCUGCCUUGAGCCCGAUGAAAUUGACGUACUGGCGCACAGUCCAGUACGUCCCAGCCGCAAGCGAAGACCCCGUGGAGCUUUACUGCAGCCUGUCGUUGUGGUACGAGUUGUAAUGUGCAGGGUAGACGGGAGCCAUCGAAACCUGGGCGCCAGCUCAGGUGGAGGCAACGAUGAAACACCGUCCUUUACGAUUCGUCCCGCUAAACCCCUUCGGGGGGACACCGAUAGGUGGGCAGUUUGGGUGGGGCGCCACUCCCUCGAAAAAAUAACAAGGGAGCUCAAAGGUCAGCUUAGGUAGGUCAGAAAUCUACCGUAAAGUGCAAGGGCAAAAGCUGGCUUGACGUGGUUUGGCAUCACAACAAACCACGAUGCGAAAGCAGGACCUAGCGAACCAACCAGCCCCGUUAGUAGGGGCGGUUGAUAACAGAAAAGUUACCCCGGGGAUAACUGAGUUGUCUGGAGCAAGAGCCCAUAUCGACCUCCAGGCUUGCUACUUCGAUGUCGUCUCUCUCUAUCCUGGGUGUGCAGAAGCACCCAAGGGUGGGGUUGUUCGCCCAUUAAAAGGGAUCGUGAGAUGGGUUUAGUCCGUCGUGAGACAGGAUUGUUGCUAUGUGCUGGGACCGUUUUGUGCCUGAAGGGAAGGGCCCCUUAGUACGAGAGGAACGGGGGCUCGCAGCCACUAGUUUACCAGUUGUCCGACAGGGCAUUGCUGGGCAGCCACGCUGUAAGGGAUAAGAGCUGAAAGCAUCUAAGCUCGAAACCCGCCUCGAGACGAGGCACUUUGACGCCCGUAGAAGACGGGACGAUAGGACCGGGGUGUACGCACCGAGAAUUAUAGUGGCGCCAGAAACCGCUUCGGCGGCGGAAGGUACCACUUCGAGG
rnacentral:rRNA from 1 species